AUACAGAGGGUGCGAGCGUUGUUCGGAAUUAUUGGGCGUAAAGAGCAUGUAGGCGGUCUGUUAAGUCUGGUGUGAAAGCCCGGGGCUCAACCCCGGAAGUGCAUUGGAUACUGGCAGACUUGAGUAUGGGAGAGGAAAGCGGAAUUCCGAGUGUAGGAGUGAAAUCCGUAGAUAUUCGGAGGAACACCAGUGGCGAAGGCGGCUUUCUGGACCAAUACUGACGCUGAGAUGCGAAAGCGUGGGGAGCAAACAGGAUUAGAUACCCUAGUAGUCC
rnacentral:rRNA from 1 species